GCAAGAACUGCCCAAUGAAGGUGCAGGCUAGUCGGAAGCGGAAUGUAGACAACGUCGACGUCUGGAUCGUCUAAUACGGCGUUGUAUGAGCCGUAUACUUUGGCAUGAGAAGGGAAGUUGUUUGAAGCUGCAAAUUUUGUUGCUUUUUUUAAUGAACGGCUCCCAAUUGCGUAGAGAGUUGCUUUUGGUGAAAGGUUUAUGGCUCUUGAAACUUUGCGAGUUAUUUCUGCACAACCAAGGAUUCCAAAUCUUAUUGGUUUUGUUUCUUCAUUAUCCAUAUUCUUUCUGGAAGAGAGAGUGUAAGAUGAAUUUGAAUGUUGCUUGGUUAUACCAAGGGUACUUGGGUGGCUAUAUAAAGAUGAAAUUUGGACGACUCAAUCUUAACACUUCAUUUUAUGGGGAGCAACUUUAUACUUUUUCUCGGUUUUAUUGUUUUUUUUACUAAGCUAAACUAACUCAUUUAAAUUGAUAUUGAGGAUAAUCGAAUUUGAUACCUUGAAGAAGAAGACACUCUAUGAUUUUAAGACAACACCAUUGAAUAAAUCCAAGUGGAGGUGGAGGCGUAUGUUUUUAUCUUUGGAGGAGGUGCAGGUUCGGGAGUGUUAUGAGAUUUUAAUUAAUAUUGUUUUGCAACCAAAUCUUUCCGAGAGGUGGCUUUGAC
rnacentral:lncRNA from 1 species